CCUACGGGUGGCAGCAGUGGGGGAUAUUGCACAAUGGGGGGAACCCUGAUGCAGCGACGCCGCGUGGGUGAAGGAGUGCUUCGGCAUGUAAAGCCCUAUCGGCAGGGAAGAAGCAAGACGUUACCUGACUAAGAAGCCCCGGCUAACUACGUGCCAGCAGCCGCGGUAAUACGUAGGGGGCGAGCGUUAUCCGGAUUCACUGGGCGUAAAGGGAGCGUAGGCGGCCUGCCAAGUCUGAUGUGAAAUACCGGGGCUCAACCCCGGGGCUGCAUUGGAAACUGGCAGGCUGGAGUGCCGGAGAGGCAGGCGGAAUUCCUAGUGUAGCGGUGAAAUGCGUAGAUAUUAGGAGGAACACCAGUGGCGAAGGCGGCCUGCUGGACGGUGACUGACGCUGAGGCUCGAAAGCGUGGGGAGCAAACAGGAUUAGAUACCCUUGUAGUC
rnacentral:rRNA from 1 species